rnacentral:rRNA from 1 species
UACGUAGGGGGCGAGCGUUGUCCGGAAUCAUUGGGCGUAAAGAGCGUGUAGGUGGCUUGGAAAGUCUUACGUGAAAGCCUGCGGCUCAACCGCAGAAGUGCGUGGGAAACUUCCUCGCUAGAGUCCGGAAGAGGAGAGCGGAAUUCCUGGUGUAGCGGUGGAAUGCGCAGAUAUCAGGAGGAACACCCGUGGCGAAGGCGGCUCUCUGGGACGGUACUGACACUGAGACGCGAAAGCGUGGGGAGCGAACAGGAUUAGAUACCCUGGUAGUCCACGCCGUAAACGAUGGGCGCUAGGUGUGGGAGGUGUCAACUCCUUCCGUGCCGAAGCUAACGCAUUAAGCGCCCCGCCUGGGGAGUACGGUCGCAAGACUAAA